CAGGUCUUGACAUCCUCUGACACUCCUAGAGAUAGGACGUUUCCCUUCGGGGGACAGAGUGACAGGUGGUGCAUGGUUGUCGUCAGCUCGUGUCGUGAGAUGUUGGGUUAAGUCCCGCAACGAGCGCAACCCUUGAUCUUAGUUGCCAGCAUUCAGUUGGGCACUCUAAGGUGACUGCCGGUGACAAACCGGAGGAAGGUGGGGAUGACGUCAAAUCAUCAUGCCCCUUAUGACCUGGGCUACACACGUGCUACAAUGGAUGGUACAAAGGGCUGCAAAACCGCGAGGUCGAGCCAAUCCCAUAAAACCAUUCUCAGUUCGGAUUGUAGGCUGCAACUCGCCUACAUGAAGCUGGAAUCGCUAGUAAUCGUGGAUCAGCAUGCCACGGUGAAUACGUUCCC
rnacentral:rRNA from 1 species